rnacentral:rRNA from 1 species
UGGGGAAUAUUGGACAAUGGGCGCAAGCCUGAUCCAGCCAUGCCGCGUGGGUGAAGAAGGCCUUCGGGUUGUAAAGCCCUUUUGUUGGGAAAGAAAUCCUGUCGGCUAAUACCCGGCGGGGAUGACGGUACCCAAAGAAUAAGCACCGGCUAACUUCGUGCCAGCAGCCGCGGUAAUACGAAGGGUGCAAGCGUUACUCGGAAUUACUGGGCGUAAAGCGUGCGUAGGCGGUUCGUUAAGUCUGUCGUGAAAGCCCUGGGCUCAACCUGGGAAUUGCGAUGGAUGCUGGCGAGCUAGAGUACGGUAGAGGAUGGUGGAAUUCCCGGUGUAGCGGUGAAAUGCGUAGAGAUCGGGAGGAACACCCGUGGCGAAGGCGGCCAUCUGGACCAGUACUGACGCUGAGGCACGAAAGCGUGGGGAGCAAACA